GUUUCUCACAACACACAGCGGCUAACUUUUACCCAACCGGCUAACUUUCCACGAAGAAGGACGAAGUUAAGGACGCGGCUGAUCCAAUCAGAGACUGGGUGAGCUGGCAUGUCCGCAGCAGGUGAGCCGUUCCCCUUUGUGUCUCUGUGUGUUUGAGCCGCCUUUGUCCCGGCCCACCUGGGCAGCCUGUUCCCCUCUUGUGUAUGGAUUCUCUAGCAUGUCUGUGUGGUUAGACGGAGGCCGCCUGAUCUGCUGUUUCUCAUCGGUUUCGUCAGCACAGCCGCACAAGCUGGAUAAUUAGAUCAAACAAUGGGAUUAGAGCUCGUUACAAAAUGAGUGCCUCCUCCAUGCUUUGGAGCCAUGUCCAUGCCGCACUUUGCAAGAGUUCAACUCUAAGGACGCCAGGAUGGCACUCCAUCAUUAAUUUUGGUUGGCGCUCUAGCUGGCCACAGCAGGACAUUCUCCUCCCGUCUUGCAGAGAAUAAAGGGUGCAGGAAUGGCUUGAAGUCCCGAAGUCAGGUGUAUUCCUUUCUUCAGUGAAAAAAGCAAGCAUCCCAGGCUUGGAUUCAUCUUUUGUGUGUUUGGCGGCUUCCAUCUGUGCAGGCUGACCAGGCCUCCCUCAC